GAUGAACGCUGGCGGCGUGCCUAAUACAUGCAAGUCGAGCGAAUGGAUUAAGAGCUUGCUCUUAUGAAGUUAGCGGCGGACGGGUGAGUAACACGUGAGUAACCUGCCCAUAAGACUGGGAUAACUCCGGGAAACCGGGGCUAAUACCGGAUAACAUUUUGAACCGCAUGGUUCGAAAUUGAAAGGCGGCUUCGGCUGUCACUUAUGGAUGGACCCGCGUCGCAUUAGCUAGUUGGGGAGGUAACGGCUCACCAAGGCAACGAUGCGUAGCCGACCUGGGAGGGUGAUCGGCCACACUGGGACUGAGACACGGCCCAGACUCCUACGGGAGGCAGCAGUAGGGAAUCUUCCGCAAUGGACGAAAGUCUGACGGAGCAACGCCGCGUGAGUGAUGAAGGCUUUCGGGUCGUAAAACUCUGUUGUUAGGGAAGAACAAGUGCUAGUUGAAUAAGCUGGCACCUUGACGGUACCUAACCAGAAAGCCACGGCUAACUACGUGCCAGCCGCCGCCGUAA
rnacentral:rRNA from 1 species